rnacentral:rRNA from 1 species
UACGAAGGGGUGCAAACGUUGCUCGGAAUUAUUGGGCGUAAGCGCAACGUAGGCGGCUUAGCAAGUCGGAUGUGAAAUCCCUCGGCUUAACCAAGGAAGUGCAUCCCGAAACUGCUGAGCUUGAGUACUUAAGAGGAUCGCGGAAUUCCCGGUGUAGAGGUGAAAUUCGUAGAUAUCGGGAGGAACACCAGUGGCGAAGGCGGCGAU